rnacentral:rRNA from 1 species
GACGAACGCUGGCGGCGUGCUUAACACAUGCAAGUCGAGCGGUAAGGCCCUUUCGGGGGUACGACGACGCGGCGAGCGGGUGAGUAACACGUGGGUGACCUGCCCUCAGCUCUGGGAUAAGCCUGGGAAACCGGGUCUAAUACUGGAUAUGACUCCAUGACGCAUGUUGUGGGGUGGAAAGCCUUGUGCGGCUGAGGAUGGGCCCGCGGCCUAUCAGCUUGUUGGNGGGGUGAUGGCCUACCAAGGCGACGACGGGUAGCCGGCCUGAGAGGGCGACCGGCCACACUGGGA